rnacentral:lncRNA from 1 species
AAACAAUGCAUGGCAAUUUGUUUGAAAGUUAAUGUCUCUGCUCCUGACUUUAUUGAUCUUUAAAAUGGCUUGUUUGAUAGAAUAUGAAUAAACCAGUGACCUGGCUUCUAAGUGAGGCUGGCUCUUUACAGAAUGGAAUUACCCUGUCCCCCGUGUGUUGAUGAAACUUAUUUAAGCAAUAAAUGAACAAUGAGAGUUUCUGAUUCUGGGUGUCUGAUCACCAAGACGCCACGGCUUGCUGCUGUCUCAGACCCUGCCCAAAUCACGCGGGAGUAUCUGUCCAAUCGAGAUUGAUGAGUUCAGCAAUGAAGUGCUGCCUGUCUGAUUACAUGUUGUGUGUGUGCAUGUGUGUGUUUCAUAUGAGAAAACCAAAACAGGAGUGACCACAGAAGGUUGAGAGGAGAGGGUCUUAGCCCUCUAGGUGCUCAGUCACUGGUAUCACAGGAGCCCGCUGUGCACGCUCAGCUGGGGCUGCUGUCAGAGUGUAUUUUCUCAGACGUUCAUAUUUAUUUCCUUGUCAUGAUUGUUUUGAUAUUCAGCUGACAAACUGUAUCAAACGAUUGACAUGAGUGAGUGCCAGGGGAUGUCAGGAGUGAAAUAAGAUGACAAUUGAGUGCAUUACCAUUUUAAAUGGUCUGUCUCACCCUGCUGAGUGUUGGGAUUCUGUGUUUUCCCGACCUGCCAGGCCUGAUUAAGGAGACCCUGUGAGUUACCCGGGGGCCCCUCUGCUUAGCAAGAUGCAGUUUCUGGGAGACAAACGCACCGCCGCGCUUGCCUGUCGUCCUCCAGCUCCAGGAGUAAAGAGGGACUGCAGAUUGUGUGAGAUGAAGUCUUCCUCUGAUCGCAUUUUGGAAGCCAGGGCCACGCAUUUGCUCCAGGCAACAAGAAGGCACACAACUGAUUGGUCAGAAUCUGAGAUAUUGAUGGGACACUGUUUUAUUAGAGGGAUGAGACACUGCUCUUAAACUCCCAGUCUGUCUCUCCAGUUCUGCUUCACUUUAC